GGUUGGUUAACUAUCUGUAUCAU
rnacentral:snRNA from 1 species